AUGCUUGCUUCAGCAGUACAUAUACUAAAAUUGGAAUGGUACAGAGAAGAUUAACAUGGCCCCUGUGCAAGGAUGGCAUGCAAAUCUGUGCAUGUUUGUUUGACUGU
rnacentral:snRNA from 1 species